AGCUUGUUGGCUCAGGUGAUUAGAGCGCCGUGAUGGUGACACGGAGGUGGUGAGUUCGAAUCUCACACACGAAG
rnacentral:tRNA from 1 species